rnacentral:rRNA from 1 species
CAGUAGCCGCGGGAAUACGAAGGGUGCAAGCGUUACUCGGAAUUACUGGGCGUAAAGCGUGCGUAGGUGGUGGUUUAAGUCCGUUGUGAAAGCCCUGGGCUCAACCUGGGAAUUGCAGUGGAUACUGGGUCACUAGAGUGUGGUAGAGGGUAGUGGAAUUUCCGGUGUAGCAGUGAAAUGCGUAGAGAUCGGAAGGAACAUCUGUGGCGAAGGCGACUAUCUGGGCCAACACUGACACUGAGGCACGAAAGCGUGGGGAGCAAACAGGAUUAGAUACCCCUGUAGUCCCUGUCUCUUAUAC